rnacentral:rRNA from 1 species
GAUAAACGCUGGCGGCGUGCAUAACACAUGCAAGUCGAACGAGAUCAUUCCGACGGGACCUUAGGGGGAAGAUGGGAUGUGAAAGUGGCGGACGGGUGAGUAACGCGUAAGAAACCUGCCUCUCACUCCGGGAUAGCAGCUGGAAACGGCUAUUAAUACCGGAUGAUACUUAGAGAUCGCAUGGUCUUUAGGUUAAAGAUUUAUCGGUGAGAGAUGGUCUUGCGUCUGAUUAGCUUGUUGGUAGGGUAACGGCCUACCAAGGCAACGAUGGGCAGGGGAACUGAGAGGUUUAUCCCCCACAUUGGUACUGAGACACGGACCAA